rnacentral:rRNA from 1 species
UGGCUCAGAACGAACGCUGGCGGCAUGCCUAACACAUGCAAGUCGAACGGUAACGCGGGGGCAACCCUGGUGACGAGUGGCGGACGGGUGAGUAAUACGUAGGAAUCUGCCCAUUUGUGGGGGAUAACCCGGCGAAAGCCGGGCUAAUACCGCAUACGCUCUACGGAGGAAAGCAGGGGAUCGUAAGACCUUGCGCUAAUGGAUGAGCCUACGUCGGAUUAGCUAGUUGGUAGGGUAUCUUUCCUACCAAGGCAAGAUAACCAUAGCUGGUCUGAGAGGACGAUCAGCCACACUGGGA